GAUGAACGCUGGCGGCGUGCUUAACACAUGCAAGUCGAACGAAGCGCUUAAACGGAUUUCUUCGGAAUGAAGUUUUUGCGACUGAGUGGCGGACGGGUGAGUAACGCGUGGGUAACCUGCCUCAUACAGGGGGAUAACAGUUAGAAAUGACUGCUAAUACCGCAUAAGCCCACAGCUCGGCAUCGAGCAGAGGGAAAAGGAGUGAUCCGCUUUGAGAUGGCCUCGCGUCCGAUUAGCUGGUUGGUGAGGUAACGGCCCACCAAGGCGACGAUCGGUAGCCGGACUGAGAGGUUGAACGGCCACAUUGGGACUGAGACACGGCCCAG
rnacentral:rRNA from 1 species